GUCUCCCUCUGCCCACCCACCUGCACCUGACUACCAUGGGCUGUGCCCUCAUGGAGGCACCAUCAAAUGCUAUCAGACCACAGGGAGAGCACCCUUCAUCCUGUCUGAAGGUUUGGGAAAAAAGCUUCUCAGAAGAAAUGAUACUUGAUACGGGCCCUGGAGGAGGUGGAGCAAUUUGAGAAGAGAGCAGUGAGAGAUGGCAUCCAGGCAGGUGAGAAAUGUAAAGAGAAGAGAGGUCAUCCAGGACAAAUGAAAAGAAAAAGCAACCAAGCAUGAAAUCUUGGAGAAUAAUGUCCUUAUUUAAGGAUUUUGAGCACCAAGGGUACACUCAGAAAUGAUGAGUCCAGAAAUGGUGCCCUCCAGAACUUCCAGUGACGAAGGCACUCAGGAAAAUGCAGCGCCCUAAGGGGUCCCAGAAAAGGCAGUCAGGAAGAACACAGUCUGGUAGUGUCAAGUGCAGUGGAGGCUAAGAGCCUCGGUGUCUCCUUCAGAGAUAGAGUGGAUAUUUACUAGCUUCUGUUGUAUCCUUCAUACAGAACCUGGUGCUGAGAGACAGCUAAUUGUCUUUUUGAACUUUUCUUAAGACUAGUCAAGUACAGUA